rnacentral:rRNA from 1 species
GUCCACGCCGUAAACGGUGGGCGCUAGGUGUGGGUUCCUUCCACGGAAUCCGUGCCGUAGCUAACGCAUUAAGCGCCCCGCCUGGGGAGUACGGCCGCAAGGCUAAAACUCAAAGGAAUUGACGGGGGCCCGCACAAGCGGCGGAGCAUGUGGAUUAAUUCGAUGCAACGCGAAUAACCUUACCUGGGUUUGACAUAUACCGGAAAGCCGUAGAGAUACGGCCCCCUUGUGGUCGGUAUACAGGUGGUGCAUGGCUGUCGU